CAGCUACCGGCUGAGGGAGGCCAGGAACUGUCUAGCCUACCCACUUCCCAGACAAAAACACAUGGUUGAGCAUAAGGAAUAGAUCAGGGCUCUUUAUAAAUCAAGGUGUUUGAACUCAAGAGCUGCUGUUUAUUGUAAACCCCAUGGAAUAAUGUGACUUACUAUUAAUCUUAUAAGCUCUUUCUCUAUGCAGUCACCAACUUCCCAGUUGCUUUGGUAAAAACAGUGUUUCCUUUCCAGUGACUGCUUUUGUUUUAUUUGUUUGUUUGUUUUGUGUUGUGUUGUUGUUUUUUCAAGACAGGCUUCAGGCUGGCCUUGAACUUACAGUGAUUCACCUGCCUCUGCCUCCUGGAUGCUGAGAUUAAAGGCAUGUGCCAUCGCCACCUGAACAACAGCAGCUUUCUAAGGGACCAGUAAGGCACUACAGACUUUUCAUAUAACAUCACCUUCAUUCUCUCACGACUUAUUCUACAAAACAGAUGUUAUACGACCUCGUUUGCUGAAAUCAAAGAUGCAGAGGGGCCAGGGUGUGGGCUCUGGACCUCACACCAGUGUGGCAGAUUCAACAAGCCCAGAAUAAGCCUCUUCCUUUGCUCACAAUAAGAUUAAACCAACUGCCUCUUCAUUCCUCAGUCACACUCCUCCUCUGACCCUGCUCCAGGAGGCUCAUCUUGUCAGACUUCACACUGAAUGAGCGCUGAGGAUGCUGUAGAGUAUGAGCUGUGUGCAGGUUUCAAAAGCAAUUUGUGCCCCUGAAACAAGACAAUCAGCAGAGAAGGAACAAAAGAAACAUGGUGUCUUCUACCUCCAGCCUUGAAGCUUCCAGACCUACCUCCCUACACGAACCCCCCACACACCCACUCCCCGAAAUGAUGUCCCAGUGAAGAGCCAGGCUCUUAUCCUUCCAUCCAUGCCUCUC
rnacentral:lncRNA from 1 species